rnacentral:rRNA from 1 species
UCGCCUGUUUAUCAAAAACAUGUCUUCAUGUGUAUAAUUUGAAGUCUGGCCUGCUCACUGAAUUGAUAGAUUUAAAGGGCCGCGGUAUUUUGACCGUGCAAAGGUAGCAUAAUCAUUAGUCUUUUAAUUAAAGGCUGGAAUGAAUGGUUGAACGAGGUAUUGACUGUCUCGGUAUAAAUGAUAUUAGAAUUUAACUUUUAAGUUAAAAGGCUUAAAUGUAUUUAGAGGACGAGAAGACCCUAUAGAGCUUUAUAUUAAGUAUUUAUUUUUUAUUUAGAUUUAUUUUAGAAGUAGGUAUAUUUAUUAUUUGGUUGGGGUGACAAGAAGAUAAAUUAAACUCUUUUUAAUUUUGUUCAUUGAUUUAUGUAUAGUUGAUCCAUUAUUAAUGAUUAUAAGACUAAGUUACCUUAGGGAUAACAGCGUAAUCUUUUUUGAGAGUUCUUAUCGACAAAAAGGGUUGCGACCUCGAUGUUGGAUUAAGAGUAAUUUUGGGUGUAGAUGUUCAAAGUUUAGGUCUGUUCGACCUUUAGAUUCUUACAUGAUCUGAGUUCAAACCGGAGA